rnacentral:rRNA from 1 species
GACGAACGCUGGCGGCGUGCUUAACACAUGCAAGUCGAACGGAAAGGCCCUGCAUCUGUGGGGUGCUCGAGUGGCGAACGGGUGAGUAACACGUGAGUAACCUGCCCUUGACUUUGGGAUAACUUCAGGAAACUGGGGCUAAUACCGGAUAGGAGCUCCUGCUGCAUGGUGGGGGUUGGAAAGUUUCGGCGGCUGGGGAUGGACGCGCGGCUUAUCAGCUUGUUGGUGGGGUAGUGGCUUACCAAGGCUUUGACGGGUAGCCGGCCUGAGAGGGUGACCGGCCACAUUGGGACAGAGAUACGGCCCGUACUCAUACGGGAGGAAGCGGUGGAGAUUAUUGCACAAUGGGCGGAAUCCGGAUGGAGCAACUCCGCGUGCUGGAUGACUGCCUUCGGGUUGUAAACGGCUUUCGGCGGUGACGAAGCGUGAGUGACGGUAAUGGGUAAGGAAGCACCGGCUAACUACGUG